UACGGGGGGAGCAAGCGUUGUCCGGAAUUACUGGGCGUAAAGGGCUCGUAGGUGGCCAACUAAGUCAGACGUGAAAUCCCUCGGCUUAACCGGGGAACUGCGUCUGAUACUGGAUGGCUUGAGUGUGGGAGAGGGAUGCGGAAUUCCAGGUGUAGCGGUGAAAUGCGUAGAUAUCUGGAGGAACACCGGUGGCGAAGGCGGCAUCCUGGACCACGACUGACGCUGAGUGAGCGAAAGCCAGGGGAGCAAACGGG
rnacentral:rRNA from 1 species